rnacentral:rRNA from 1 species
UACAGGGGGGGCAAGCGUUGUUCGGAAUUACUGGGCGUAAAGGGUUUGUAGGUGGCUUGUUAAGUCAGACGUGAAAUCCCUCAGCUUAACUGGGGAACUGCGUCUGAUACUGAUGAGCUUGAGUGCAGGAGAGGAACGCGGAAUUCCAGGUGUAGCGGUGAAAUGCGUAGAUAUCUGGAGGAACACCGGUGGCGAAGGCGACAUCCUGGACCGGUAUUGACGCUGAGGCGCGAAAGCCAGGGGAGCAAACGGG